UCCCUGGUGGUCCAGUGGUUAGGACUCAGUGCUUUCAGCGCAGAGGGCCCAGGUUCAAUCCCUGGUUAGGGGA
rfam:TPA: Bos taurus chromosome 9, whole genome shotgun sequence.